CUUGAACGCUGGCGGCAGGCUUAACACAUGCAAGUCGAGCGGAGCGAGGGUGCUUGCACCUUAGCUUAGCGGCGACGGGUGAGUAAUGCUUAGGAAUCUGCCUAUUAGUGGGGGACAACAUUCCGAAAGGAAUGCUAAUACCGCAUACGCCCUACGGGGGAAAGCAGGGGAUCUUCGGACCUUGCGCUAAUAGAUGAGCCUAAGUCGGAUUAGCUAGUUGGUGGGGUAAAGGCCUACCAAGGCGACGAUCUGUAGCGGGUCUGAGAGGAUGAUCCGCCACACUGGGACUGAGACACGGCCCAGACUCCUACGGGAGGCAGCAGUGGGGAAUAUUGGACAAUGGGCGGAAGCCUGAUCCAGCCAUGCCGCGUGUGUGAAGAAGGCCUUUUGGUUGUAAAGCACUUUAAGCGAGGAGGAGGCUACUUAGAUUAAUACUCUGGGAUAGUGGACGUUACUCGCAGAAUAAGCACCGGCUAACUCUGUGCCAGCAGCCGCCGUAAGAC
rnacentral:rRNA from 1 species